AGAGGGCAUGUCAAGGCCAAAGCUUUUCUUUAAACUCUCAGCAUCACCGGUGUACACUCAGCAGUAGGAAAAUUUGACUUACUCAGGCUGCCAGUUAGAAGAGGACAGUUUCUUUCCUGUUACAGUUUAGCUCUAGGCUGCGACCUUGAAAAGUCCUCCAACUGCUCAGGCAUGUUCUUUAAUAAACAUCUUUGCUAUGUGACUGGACCUUCGGGCGUGGAUGGGGCAAAUGAAAGCAGCUCUUCAAGACCCUGUGAGGAGUGGUGCGGGGAACGAGGAAGGUGCUGAUAUUUACCGAGCAUCUAUUGUCUCAUCUAAUCCAGGUUCCAUUGCCCUUAAAAUGGAUAUACCAGGUUUAUUCCAUUACUUUGGGCCCCUGCUCCUCCCCCCGCUACCGUGAAGAACGCUCAGUUUGAGAAGUCCAGAAUGAGCUCCACAGAUUGGACGUGACAG